AAAAAAAUGUGUUGCACUAUUUUAAUAGUUUAGAAUUAUCUGCAUCAACUAAUUAUAGGUAGGUCACAUUCAUUUAAUUAGGAAUCUUUAAAACUAGGAACAUUUUUCACUUUCCUUUUCAUGAGUUGAAGACUUAGUGAUUUCAAAGGUUUUCCUACCUUAACAUCCAAAGACUCUGCUUCUUUUGCCACACAAGGUGCUGCGAAUCCUGCCCCCCGAAGCCAAAAUGUAUUGUGUUACUAAAAAUUGCUAGAGAGACUCUGGGAGCUUCACAGAAAACCCCCAAAUCUUGUCAAAUUUGCAUUGUCUCUUGUUGAUUAUUUUAUUCUUAUUAAUCCAUCAGGAUAUUUGUCCCCACCUACUCACUAAGACAGAGGACCUCAAUCGUCCUUCAACAACAUCUGGAGCUGGGGCUGGAAGAAAUCCCUUGGGGCCUCCAAGCUUGCUGCCCAGGAAAGAAGAACCACAGUUUCCUCUGUGGCUGGCUGGAUCAGCCAACGCUGUCCCUCACUCUGUCCGUAAUGGUCAGUCAGCCAAGGAAAGAGUCUCUAGUUUGGCCUACUCAUCUGCACCAAAAAAUAUCAAGAAGUUUUAUUCAAGCAGAGCUAACACUAUCAGCAAGUAUCAUUCUAAAGCCAAUAUGGUGCAUGACAAUAGGAAUCACAACAAGCAAUGUCAAAGCAAAGUGAGACACAAGGGGAGAGAGUUGCUUUCAGUAAGUCCUUUAUCCUCCUCACCUGAAAAUACCCAUUUCAGUGUGAAUUUUGGAGUUUCAGAGUUUUAUUUUACUGACAAAUGUGGCUUUUAUGUACUGUAUUCCCUUGUAAAUUCUGCACACUGUUGCAUUUUUCCACAAGUGGGAAAGUCCACUUUGUCACUGGAUAAAGAUAGAUUCACUACUUUAAUAAUCUGCAAAGAGCACAAAAGUAUCAAGAGCAUCCUGUAGUCAUAAGAGGAAGUAGAGAAUAUGAUCUGUUAGUAUGCAUUUUGGGUAAUGACUUGAGAGUAUAUUCUACAUUAAAAUGCACUGUGUUUAAAUUUCAUUUUAUCUACAUUCCACUCUCAAACUUCCACACCAUGUUCUUUGGAAUAUAUUUAAUGUCUAAGAUCUGCAAGUUCUCACCUACACAAACUCUGCAGCCAGCAAGUGGUUUAUUAAACUACAGCUUUAAGGUACCACUCACAAAACAGAAAGGGAAACUGUUUUCUUUAUGUUCUGCAGGGAGCUAAAGACAGAUGGAAGUAGAUAAUUUCCAUGGACACCCUUGCAGUCACCAUGAUUAAUUUUAUUGGCCAGAUUCCUCAGAUUUGAAAGCCUUGAAAGAGGGGUGUUGAAACUGUCAAGGUAACAUCUAAUUAAGAAGGAAAUAGAGCCUUAAGAGAAGUACUGACUCUCCUUUUCAUCAAAGGAUAGUAAGUUAUAGAAAGAAGGCACCAAAUCCUCAGUAGGUAACCCAGCCUUUCUGAUACCUUUGUAACCUCUUCCCAGUGGUCAGCAGUGCACACAGCUACACGUGUACACCCACAUGCACAAACGCAUGCCCCGAGUUAAUUAUUUAAGCCAAUCCUUUUCAACUAGAAUGUUUCAUCUAGCCUUCCUGGUAAUCACUGAUAGAUACCUAGAUAGAUACUUGCAACCUCAGGUAGGUGAAGCUAAAAGAUUUACUUGAUUUUAUCAUUUUAUCCAAGUCCAUAUUUUAAAGUUCACAUUUAAACAAAUACACACGUACAUAUUACACACAUGUAUACAGAGAGGAAAUUCUAACACACAUGUCCCUAGAUAAUAGUCAGAAUAUCUGAACUAUGGCCAGGAGAUUAAGCAUAAAGAUCAGGAUGUUUCAACACUAUUAUAUCUGUUACCACAAAAGUCAGACACAAAUAAUUACAUUUUCUAGAGAGUGAAAAUACAAUGAAUACUUAUGAUUUUUGCUCUUUUUAUUACCCUCAUAAGCACCUAAUAUGAUUUACAAAUAGUCUAUUUAUUAAAACUAUAAAUAUAUCUGUAUUUAUAUAUUACAGAUGAGAAAAAAGUUGUCUCUGUACUGAAGGAGUUGAGUAAACACUGAUUCUUCAUGGAAACUGGUAGUUUAUGUAUUCUUUGAGAAAUUUUUGAAUUAAAAAAUUCAAAUAGUAAGAGAAUUGAAACAUAGUAGUAAUAGUAGUGUUUAGGAUAAAAUUAUCACACCAAUAAACAAUUUUGUAUAUCUUCUCUUUUUAAAAAAAAUAAUUGUGCCUGGGUAUAUUUGUUGUUAAUUUAAAAUGACUCUUAUCUCAGGGACAAAAUUGCAGGAAAAUUUGGCUUUGCCUUAGAGAAAAUAGAACAUACACAUGUAUUGAUGCAAAUAAGAAUAAUACAUGUUUUGUAGAAAAUUAUUUUCCUUCAUGAAGAUUGUUCUUUACUCCUUGGAAAUAAUCCUGUCUUGACUUAGUUUGUAUUUGUUUCAUUAGGUUGUAAUGCAAAAUGUACCAUAAUGUUAUCCCUUUCAGUAUAAUGCAAAGGGGAACAUAAACCUGAAAUUCUUUUGGUAUAAGAAAUGCUUGGAAAUUAAGUCAUGGCUUCUAACCUUCCGAGUCAUGUUCUUUAUUUGACAGACUAUACUGUAUUUGAGCACUAAAUAAUAAUAAAGAAAUCAUCAACUACAUUGUUGAUUAUUACUGUAUUUACAUCAGUUAUACCUGAACAAAAGUCAUAGAUUCAGAGCCUCUCUUCUGUAUUUCAAGCUGCUUUAGAGGCUUUGCUUCUCAUACUUCAGCAGGUAUUUGAUCACCUGGGCUUCAUCCCAGAAUUGUGAUUUUACGUAGGCCUGCAUGUGGCCUAAGAACCUGCACACCUACCUCUCAGGGGAUGGAGUUGUUCCUGGGCCAGGGACCUAACUUUGAGGGCCACCAAUAAAAUGUAACCUCAUUAAAACAGUCAGGUCUUACCUUUUAGGCAGGUGUAUUUGAGUCAUUGUAUUUCUAUAUAUUUCAGUAAUAGCUAUAGCUUGCAAAAUAUAAAAUCUAUUAUAUUCAAUAAAAAGUAAUGAAAUGUGCUUUAUUUCUUUUUCUUCACUGCAAGCACAGUGUAGAUUGGUUAGUUCAACAAUCUAAGAAGCCAGUAGGAAGGGCUUUCAGAGUCAAAACUUGACCUUACAUCCUUUAUUGAAGGAUUACACAUAAAAACCAGCUGUCAAUAAAUAGUUGCCUUGGUUUUGCCAUUCCUACAGUACUUUGGGCUAAAGCAAAACUUUGUAAAUUUAAAGCUCAUGAUUGACAUCUGCUGGCACAUUUGUGAAUUACAAGUAGUUUGCAUGGUUGGUAUAUAUUGUGUUCAGAUUUGGGGGUUUUGUAUCUUCCUUUCCAAAACCCAUUAGGUAAAUUUUAUGUCUGACUUUAUACAUGUAUUUUCCCUAAAAGUAAUGUAUUUCACAAUUUAUUGAACAACUAAAAUAAAACUGUUUAACAAAUUGAACACAUUUAUUUCAAACAGCUAGUCUGUACUGAAACUAUUUUAAUUUUUCCUAUUAACAAAGUGAAAUUAUAAAUUUGUCAUCUCAGUAUACAUAGUUCAUAUCUAGAGUGAAUUUUAUCAAUAGAUUUUUUAUUUUAAGAGGAUAUAUUUAAAUCUUUAAUUGCUUUACCCUGAAUCAAAUGUUUAUGUAAUUAGAUUGCUUACAAUGGCAGUAAAUUGAAGAGGAGCUGAAAUUAAUCAUGCUAACACCUAUAUAUAUAUAUAAUAUAUAUAUAUGUAUUCCUAUCAGUGGAGCCAAGGCAUUUUCCAGUUUUUAGUCAUAAUCUUUUCCAAAUUUUCCUCUUUAGUGCUGGGCUUUGCAUUCAUUGCUAUUCAUUCAAAAAGAUCAUAAGCUUCUGCUCCCAUGUUCAACUUUACAAUCUUAAUGAAACUGAAUCAAGCAUAUUAAACUGAAGUGUCAGUCAAGGACUCAAGAAAGAAUCACUUAGUAUAAACACUUUUUGUGCUUCACUGUCAUCUCCUUUAAUCCGCACAACUUUCUGUACCUUUACAGUAUAAAACUUUGGCUACCUCAUGCAACGAGUUGACUCAUUGGAAAAGACUCUGAUGCUGGGAGGAUUGGGGGCAGGAGGAGAAGGGGACAACAGAGGAUGAGAUGGCUGGAUGGCAUCACCGACUCGAUGGACCUGAGUUUGAGUGAACUCCAGGAGUUGGUGAUGGACAGGGAGGCCUGGUGUGCUGCAAUUCAUGGAAUUCAUGCAAAGAGUCGGACAUGACUGAGUGACUGAACCGAACAGAACAGUACAAAUUAUGAAGCUGAAGUUUACGAAAGCUAGACAAGUUGUCAAAGGUCUCAGAGCGAAGACUGAUAUCUAAAACAGCCCGACUGUGGCAUCUGGCUCCUGCAAGCCAGGCCGUUU
ensembl:lncRNA